rnacentral:rRNA from 1 species
GAUCAUGGCUCAGGAUGAACGCUAGCUACAGGCUUAACACAUGCAAGUCGAGGGGAAACGACAUCGAAAGCUUGCUUUGAUGGGCGUCGACCGGCGCACGGGUGAGUAACGCGUAUCCAACCUGCCCACCACUUGGGGAUAACCUUGCGAAAGUAAGACUAAUACCCGAUGAUAUCCCUAGAAGACAUCUGAAAGGGAUUAAAGAUUUAUCGGUGAUGGAUGGGGAUGCGUCUGAUUAGCUUGUUGGCGGGGUAACGGCCCACCAAGGCUACGAUCAGUAGGGGUUCUGAGAGGAAGGUCCCCCACAUUGGAACUGAGACACGGUCCAAACUCCUACGGGAGGCAGCAGUGAGGAAUAUUGGUCAAUGGGCGAGAGCCUGAACCAGCCAAGUAGCGUGCAGGACGACGGCCCUAUGGGUUGUAAACUGCUUUUAUAAGGGAAUAAAGUGAGUCUCGUGAGACUUUUUGCAUGUACCUUAUGAAUAAGGACCGGCUAAUUCCGUG